CUUAGAAAACAAAAAGAGAGACCAGGCUGUUUUAUUGGUUACCAAAAACUUUCAAAGGACUGUGAGCCUCUGGGAUGAAACUGGAAAAAGCCUACCAUUACAGCAGUCACGCAAAUUUACACGAACUUGGGAAAAACAUGCCUGCAGAGAAGGAAAUCAAACUCAAGACUGCUGGUUAAGUGCCAGGACCAGGCAUGUGAAAAGGAUUAUGUCACAGAGAGCAGCAGGAGGGCCAGGCAGCCUUUUGAGGCACAGGCAAGGCAGCAUACUGAGUGGACAUCUAGGACAGGGCAUGAGCAGGAGUGAGCACCCUGGCUUUGGAAGAAGGGGCCAUCAGGAUUCUCCUGGGACCAACCCUGGCCACAUAAGAAGUCCCACACCCUGACUCUGAAGACCU